AUGGCUGUCGUCAGCUCGUGUUGUGAAAUGUUGGGUUAAGUCUCGCAACGAGCGCGACCCCUAUCGUCUGUUGCCAGCAUUAAGUUGGGCACUCUGACGAGACUGCCUGGGUUAACCAGGAGGAAGGUGGGGAUGACGUCAAGUCCUCAUGGCCCUUAUGUCUAGGGCUACACACGUAAUACAAUGGCGCGUACAAAGGGAAGCGAACUCGCAAGGGGGAGCAAAUCUCAAAAAGCGCGCCUCAGUUCGGAUUGGAGUCCGCAACUCGACUCCAUGAAGUUGGAAUCGCUAGUAAUCGUAGAUCAGCUAUGCUACGGUGAAUACGUUCCCGGGUCUCGUACACACCGCCC
rnacentral:rRNA from 1 species